rnacentral:lncRNA from 1 species
CACCUUUAUGCCAUCUAAACCCCAGCAAAGAAGGAUGGAAAGAGUCAAAAGAGGAAGAGAGAGUGGCAAUGGUACCAAGACUAGCUUUCAUUCUUUUCGUUCUUGCCAGGGAUUACAAUGUCACAAGCCUGGGGCAGGAUCUUAAUUGGAAGUAUGAAGCUAAGGAUUAUAGAAAGUAUGUGACAUUUGUGCCUUGUACAUUUCUAUAAACAUCUUUGGAGCCCCUUAGGGAAAUGAGACUGGGAGGUUUUUCUUUAUUUUUCUAGAAUCUUUGGUUCUGGAGGGCUAAGAAAGAUCAAGGCAAAGAUCCUGGAGUCAGAGUUCAAGCUGCUUACCACUGGUUCUAAACUCAAGGCAAUAGGGCAUAUUGACCCUUCCAAUCAUCGUCCAUAUUUCCCAGAACAGGUGAACUGAAGAAUAUUGGAGAGUGUGGCCGAUCUUAUAAGUUCCUCUCAAGAAAUCAAGACUGGAAUACAAGGUAUUCACACCCUAACAGGCCUGCUAAGUACUCAGGAAUAGAUGAGAUGUGCAAGGCCCAGGAGUCUGGACUCUCACCGAUUCAGAAAAGAAUAUAAGUGAACUGCCUUCCCCUUCACUCACCAAGCAUGGAUGGGGAAAAAUGAAGUUACUUUGAAGAGACACCAUAUAUUCAAUGAAAUUAAAAACAAUAAUAAUCCCCAUCACAUAUGGAAUGUUGACCUUUCUUGGAUAAAAUUUGCUUCAAUUAGACAAUGAAAUGAAUUUUUUGUAUGAAUGAGCUGAUACCCGACAUUAUUUAGUAUUUGUCUGUGUGAACUCGA